rnacentral:rRNA from 1 species
UUUCAGUCUACCCUACUGUAUAGAAAAGAAUGCAUUGAGAAGGAUGCUUUCAGAGGAAAAAGGCCAUGAAUAGAUCUUGUCUGUGAUCCAUGGUUCUCCGAUCAGGAAACCGUAUCCAAGCUCUGUGGCUAGUCUAUGCUAUUUUGACCUUUUGAACUUAGCGAACUGAUACAUCUUAGUAGCUAAAGGAAGCAAAAUCAACCGAGACCCCAUUAGUAGCGAUGAGCGAGAGCAUAUUGGGGGUUUUCAGAAAAAGAAAGACGAGGCUUUGUUCAUUGACUAAAGUCGAUCUUCUUCAAACUGCUUUUUGGGGUCGAGGGAGUUCCUCAACAAAGUGUGAACAAGAACAUAUUUUUCUUUUGCUCCAGGUUUCAUUCGAUUUAUUGUGAAUUGGAUGAUGAAAAAACCAGCAAGCUGCUUAACCUUUCAUACGAGGUCAAAGGCGCAGUGAACUAACAUUGUGAAAAGGUUGGAAGAUCUAGCAAAAGAAGGUGAUAACACUAUAGAUUCGUUCCCAUGGUUUGAUCCUUCCCAGUCAAACAUGGCGUGCUCAAGUUCUGAUAGCUUUUACACGAGAAAGAGAGACCAACCUCUAAGUCUAAGUAUUCCUUAAUGACUGAUAGCGUACAAGUACCGUGAGGGAAAUGUGAGAAGAACCCUAUUUAUGGAGUGCAAUAGAGAACUUAAGAUCUGAUGCUUUCAAUCAGUCGAAGGAGCGGUAAGCCUUGACUUUUGAUUAGGGUGGCCCUAUUUUGCCUUACCAAUCCCAUAAAACUCUGAAUAUAGGCUUAGAUCGUUUGUACAGAUAGACUUUUGGGCUUUUAAGAUUCAAAGUCAAAAUGGAAACAACCCAAAUCAUACGCUAGGUCCUUAAGAAAUCACUUAAUGGAAAAGGAAGUUCUCAAGCAAUGAAAAUUAAGAGGUGGGCUUGGAAGCAGCCAUCCUUUGAAGAAAGCGUAAUAGCUCACUCGUCUAGUUCCAGGGCACCGAAAAUGUCUCAAGACUCAAGUGAUUCACUGAAGCGAUAAGACCUUAAAAGCAGCUUUUUCAAGUGUCAAUAGUGGGACGUUUUGUCAGUCGGGAAAGGUUUUUGGUGACAAGACUUGGACAUAUCAGAAGUGAGAAUGCUGACAUGAGUAACAAGAAAUAGUGGGACUUUCUACGUUCAGUAAAUCUACGCAAAGUGAAUCAGUCCCUAAGGAACCCCCGAAAGGGCUGCCAUUCGAUGGGUAUACGAAAAUGGUGAAGUAGCUUUUGACUACAGAACAAUGCCUACCUAUUGGAGAAAAUAGGAUGAUCGGGCCAAGGGCAACCCCUUCUUCCCUUCACUCUCUUCCUGCUUCAUGGGAUUCACCUUGAGUAAUCAAAGCCUUUCUAACUCGAUCUCUAAACGAAGAUCCCGCAAUGAACUCUCGUCUCUAUUUAGCGAUCGCUGCGGGGGAGCAGACAAAAUUUUUUGUUAUCUAAAGGCUUUGACUCUGAAGUGGACUUUAACUCAGCCCAGCAGAGGAGGCAGGCUCUAGCUUCGCGCACCUGCUGAUACCUUUCUCAUCAUUUGAGAGUGUGUGCUUUUGUUUUUGAAUGUCUCAUUCAACCUCACAAUCUACAAGUCUUUCUCAUUCUAGUGCUCACCUUUGAGUAGGGAUCCCAAGAGAGCGUACCGCCAUAGUCAUGAGUAUGUUUAUAGUCACAACUCUUGUCAUAGUGAACAAGGUUUCAACUUAUAGGAAAAAAAACUUUCUUUUUGGAAGGGUGAUCAUGUCGAUGAACUGAUCAAACCCCAAACCAAUAAAUGUGAACAAGUAGAGCAUACCAAGGUGCUUAAGAGAACCAUGUUAAAGGAACUGAGUAAAAUGACAUUGUACCUUCGGGAGAAGGGCUGCUCUCCAAUCUAUUUCUCAGGAAAGCGACACAUUCCAGGGGGUAGCGACUGUUUAUUAAAAACACAGAACUCUGCUAAGUGGUAACACAAUGUAUAGAGUCUGACACCUACCCGGUGCUGGAAGGUCAAAAGGAGAAGUGUGAUAAGCUUUGAAUGGAAGCCCCAGUAAACGACAACAAUAACUCUAACUGUCUUAAGGUAGCAAAAUUCCUUGUCGCAUAAGUAGCAACCCGCAUGAAUGGCAUCACGAUUACCUCAUUGUCUCCAACAUGGACCCGAUGAAAUUAAAUUCUCCAUGAAGAUGCGAAGUACCAAUAGCAAAACGGUAAGACCAUGUGCACCUUCACUAUAACUUCGUAGUGACAACCUUGAUCGAAUGUGUAGGAUAGAUGGGAGGUGGUGACACACAACAACCAAUCUUGAAAGGCCACCAUUUCAUCUAAGGAUUUCUAACAGCCGCAUCAAGUUUUCAGGGGGAAGGGGCAGGACACUGCAAGGUGGGUAGUUUAUCUGGGGUGGAUGCCUCCUAAAGAGUAAUAAAAGUGUACGAAGGUAGGCUCAAAGCUCAAAUUUUGCUAAUGGUAUAAGCCUACCUAACUGUGAGAUCGACUGGUUGAACAAAGACGAAAGUCGACCAUAGUGAUCCAAGAGUUUCGUGUGGAAGGAAUCUCGUUCAACGGAUCAAAGGUACUUGGGGAUAUAAGGCCGAUGACUCCGAAGACCUCUUAUUGACAGAGUCGUUUGGCACCUUGAUAUCGACUCAUCACAUUCUAGGGUUGAAAAAGGUCCUAAGUGUUCAAAUGUUAACCAAUAAAAGUGGUAGGUGAGUUGGGUUUUAAACUUCGUAGGAUAGUUCGAUUCCUAUCUACCGUUGGUGUGAAAAGGAGAACUCUGAGGAGCCAACCCUAGUAUGUUCGUCUAGGUUGGGCCAACCUAUAGUGUACCGAUUGUUAUGCCAAUAGCAGCGUUAGGCAACUAACUUGGUAUGGAAGAAUUGCAGUGCCAUGGGAAAUCCUUCUCUAUACAAGUUCUCGGACGUGGUUUUUGAACACACUUCGAUAGGCGAUAGGUGUAAGCACCGCGAGGUGUUCAGUGAACUCGUACUAAACGAAAGGACUUGCACU